AUUGGUGAUUGGCAUCGUAGCGUAGCGCGAGGCCGCAGCGGGCUGUUUACGACUUCGUACGAUUACCGAGAAUCGGCAGUAGCGUGUCCAUUAUAACAUUGAUAAUAUCGUGCAAUUAUACGUAAAUACGAACUAAUGUUUGUUUACAAAUCGGCUUCUGUGAAUUUAAUAGGUGUAGAGCGAUUUUUGGGAAUUUUAAUAAAAUAGUAUAUUUAAAUGUCAAAAGUGUGACAGUGGAAACGGACAAAUUUGGGUGAGGCACGGAGGCGGGGUAGCCGCGCCGCGCGCGAUGCAAGAGAAUAUAGUGCGGGCGAGGCGGGAGGGGCCGGCCGCGCUAGUGUGCGGGAGCGAGCGGGACGACACGCUGCCGGCACCUCUCACUCACACGCCAGAUAACCAACAACCGAGCAGAAGGAAAAUAAAAUGCAUCUAAAAUUCCUUUAAUGUGGACUCGCAUUUUAUGUUAUUGUAAAGUUGACCUUCACUUUUUAUGACCGUAAACAUCAACCCAUAGAAACCUCUAGACAUAGGUAGGUGGCUGUCAAGAGUGAGAACUCUUUAUGGUAUUAGGCAUCAUUAUAUUAAUAACGUUUUAUGAUCACAAACUUAUGAUAAACACGUGAAGAAAA